rnacentral:rRNA from 1 species
AACGAACGCUGGCGGCAGGCUUAACACAUGCAAGUCGAACGCCCCGCAAGGGGAGUGGCAGACGGGUGAGUAACGCGUGGGAAUCUACCCAUCUCUACGGAAUAACUCAGGGAAACUUGUGCUAAUACCGUAUACGCCCUUCGGGGGAAAGAUUUAUCGGAGAUGGAUGAGCCCGCGUUGGAUUAGCUAGUUGGUGGGGUAAAGGCCUACCAAGGCGACGAUCCAUAGCUGGUCUGAGAGGAUGAUCAGCCACAUUGGGACUGAGACACGGCCCAAACUCCUACGGGAGGCAGCAGUGGGGAAUAUUGGACAAUGGGCGCAAGCCUGAUCCAGCCAUGCCGCGUGAGUGAUGAAGGCCCUAGGGUUGUAAAGCUCUUUCACCGGUGAAGAUAAUGACGGUAACCGGAGAAGAAGCCCCGGCUAACUUCGUGCCAGCCGCCGCCGUAAGAC